AUUGAACGCUGGCGGCAGGCUUAACACAUGCAAGCCGAGCGGAGAUGAGGUGCUUGCACCUUAUCUUAGCGGCGGACGGGUGAGUAAUGCUUAGGAAUCUGCCUAUUAGUGGGGGACAACAUUCCGAAAGGAAUGCUAAUACCGCGUACGUCCUACGGGAGAAAGCAGGGGAUCUUCGGACCUUGCGCUAAUAGAUGAGCCUAAGUCGGAUUAGCUAGUUGGUGGGGUAAAGGCCUACCAAGGCGACGAUCUGUAGCGGGUCUGAGAGGAUGAUCCGCCACACUGGGACUGAGACACGGCCCAGACUCCUACGGGAGGCAGCAGUGGGGAAUAUUGGACAAUGGGGGGAACCCUGAUCCAGCCAUGCCGCGUGUGUGAAGAAGGCCUUAUGGUUGUAAAGCACUUUAAGCGAGGAGGAGGCUACUGAGACUAAUACUCUUGGAUAGUGGACGUUACUCGCAGAAUAAGCACCGGCUAACUCUGUGCCAGCAGCCGCGGUAACAC
rnacentral:rRNA from 1 species